UCUUUAUCAUCUUCUUUCUUCUAUGGCUAUACUAGGAUCCUGGUUUUCUUCAUACCUGAGGUGGAUAUUCCAAUUCUUCAUAGGAUGAUGUUCACAGAAUGGACACGGGAUGAAGACAGUCCUAAGUCUCAUGCAUCAGGAAAGUCCCCACUGAUUUUAAUGAAGUUCUGCAAUCAUAAGGGCUACAGGUUUACCAAGUAUAUAUGGACAGCUUCACAAUACCAACAAAAUUAACAAAAUUCACAAUACCAAACAAUUAACAAAAUUUUUCUUUAAAACUACAUGAAAAUAACGACUCUGGCAAGCAAAAAUCCACCCAUAAAUGGUCUCUUGGAACAAGAGCCUUUGUUCAGACAAAAAAUUUUUUCCAACUUGAAUUCAUUUCAGCCAGAGAAAGUUGAGAGUGCAGGUUUUGCAAAGUAUUUUAAGAACAUAUGCCAUGCUUAGCAAACAUAUAGGUCUGUUUGAAAGGGUAUGUCCCACUGACAUAUAUGGGCAAGUCAACUACCCCACAAAUAUUCAGAAUUUGGGGGAAACAACAGAUGAAUCUCUGGCUAUGUUAAAAGCAAUUUUUUUUUUUUUUUUUGUGUAUUGAAGUUCUUUCCAUUGUCUUCAGUGAGGAUAGGCUUUCUUUCAACAAUUAAUUUUCAUGUUUAUCAUAUCUUGGAACAGAUUCUCUUUUAUUUUCCCAGAACAUCAAAAUCCCCACUUCAAAAAUGUUUAACAAAAAUUAGUGUUAAUGGCUAAUAUUUACAGCAAAUCACACAUUUGACUAAAACUAAAAGAAGAUGAAACCCAAUAGUUAUCCUAAUUCAAAUAAUGAUGCUUCUGUUAAUGUAUUGUUGAUUGUUCAUUUCCUAAACGGUAGAAAGGUGUCAAGGGAAAGUAUAGAUUCAGUAUUUGUCUCUCUAAUUCUCUCUUGAUUAAAACUAUUUUACUUUCUCUAAAUAAAUAAAUAUCCAUUAGUCCCCGGGGAGAAUGAUUCAGUGGUUGCGUGCAUACAGCCAUAAGAUCUCUAUCACUGUGACAAAUUAAUUGUUUAUACAAAGCAGCACAGCUCUAACAAGCUGCUGAAUAUCUCCACCACAAGAUGAAAAGUGCCUUACUUCAGCAUAUCCAGUAGCCUCAUGGCCAGCAUGCCUUCUGGGCAUGGAGAAGACCUAAAUUCAAGUCUCUCCCACAAAUCAAACAGAGUUUGGAGGACUUCAGUACACAUGUUCAAGACCUUAGGGAUGUAUCCUAAUGAUCCAGCUGUCACUUAUGAGAAGAUAUCUCUCAGUUUCAGGCCUUUUCUGAGGAAAAGUAAUUUAAUCUAAAUAGUACUGUCCUUUCUACAGACAUUAGUCCUAAAUUUGUGCAUGUAUCCUGGAACAAAAUUACUCUUGGCGUCAAUAUUUUUUCCUCCAAUGUCUCAUUCUUUAGUCUUGGUGUCUGGGAGAGUUUACUGAAGACUGGAGUUAGACUGUAAUGGAAAUCCAACUCCUUUAAAUUGUAACCCUAACAAGUUCUAGCCUAACAGCAAAGCAGGUUUUCAAUCUGAAAAAAAUCAGUAGUUUCACAGAUAAUAGCUAAAAGCAGUAGCCAUGGGUAAUAACUGUUAUUUUGAUAGCCAUGGAUCUCAUACAACUUUAUGGCCUUUUAUUUUACUAUCAAGCAGUGUAACAUCUUUCAAGGCCAGAUUCCUAGUUGCUGAACUCAGAUUGGAGGUAUCUUUUUAGGCUCUGGAUUAAUCAGUCAAUUGUAUUUUUGCAUCAGGAGGGAGUUUUCCCAAAAAUCUAGAAUAAUCCAGGCUAGACACAUAUUUCCUACUUGGCAGCCUCAGAUUUGGUUGCAUAUUUGGUACUUCAACAUCUCUCUCUGAAUUUGUCACAGUAACAGCCUGGUUACAAAGGCCAAGGAUGAGCACUUGUCUCCACAUCUAUGAUUUUAGACUGGCAAACUGUGAGUUGUCUGAGAGACCAGAAGCUUUGGAUACCUGCAGGCUGGAUCUUCUUCUUUCACAACAGGAUCCUUAAUUGGACCAAAUGGCUAAUACUCCCUAAGUGCAGGACCACAAUGUUGAGAUAUUUUUUUCUGCGAAGACAUCAUCUGACAAACAAUUGCCAACACACAAUUGCAUAUGAAGAUGUAGAUACCACUUGAGAUGAACUAUCUGGAAAAGUCGGAGAAAGGAAACAAAAAAAGGACUUAGAAGCAUGAAAAUAAAAGAAAUCUCAUAGCAGACAACAGAUGGCCAGACGUGCCCGACUCUCCACUGACGAAUUUCCAAAAAACUAACACAGCUCGGCCUGAGGAGCACUUUUGUCUUGACUUCUUUUGAAGUCAACAGCCUGCAAUACCAAACACAGCUGGGGAAAAGUUCACAGUCCACUUCAGGAGUCCUUUUCCACACAGGAAAACCACAAAGGAAAAGCAGGUAUCUGGAAUAUCUUGUUUUGCUGUGACGAAAUUGUUCUCUAUAUGUAAAAACUGGUGUUGCCAGCUUAGACAGUCUGAUAGUGUCUUUAUGGAUCUUCUCCCUAGCGCUAACCAUAUGGCCUGUUGUGUACAAUAUGACAUUAGCUGUUCUUUUAAAUUUGCUUUUUUACUGCAGUUCUGUAAUAAUGUACUCUAUCGGUUCUGUUCACGUUCCAUCAUGUUUCAUUAUUAUCUCCCCUCAGAGUGCUCAGUUCUGUGAAUUUUCCUCGUAUAUCUUAUAUGCGAUUAUGCUUGACUGCUUGUUCCUAAAUAGCUCCGAAUUGCAUCGGUUGCUCAAUUAAUUAUGAAAAUCUUACUCAUGUAUUCCUCAGAAAACACGUACACUUCCUCACUUUGUGUGUUUUGGUGAGGCGAAUGCCAGUGUCACUCAAUUCUGCGA